CCCUGGACAGGCCGCCAGUCCAUCGCAGACUUUAGAUCAAGUAGAAGAAACAAUUCUGGGAUGAAUCAGAGUUGAGUCGUCUUCCUCCGUGUGAUCACUUUCAGCCGUCACCGGUCUGCUCUCCAACUUACCCUGCUCAGAAAAACAAAUAAUUGCAAGAUUCAACCUGCACAGAAAUGUACCUCCACAGAUCCUACUUCCCUCUCCAUGCCGAAACCUCUUCUUUGAACCGUAAGCUCAAACCUGCCAUUGAAUAAUCUGCAUCAUCCUGCUUGUCAACUGCUAGUCACUCUUCUCUUUCUCUCCAGACCUUCCUGAGAAAACCAGAGAAACAGACUUGUUAUUUUGCAGAUUUGACCAUGUUCUUUAAAUAAACCAUUACCUAUUCAAGAACUGCCUCUGGUGCAGCAUUUGGGUCAGAAAAAUAGCUGAAAUCACAACAAUUAAGGGGAACAAUAGAUAACUGGACUCAUUUAUUUCUUUGUGUAAAACACGCUUUCUAAUUGCCAACCUGGACAACUACCCAAAUGGCUCAUGUCAACUAUUACUGUUUGGGAGUCUUGUUGAUGUUGGGAGGGGGGAAAUCAAAUUUUAACAUUGUAGCUUCACAUUUGAUCCUAGCAGGGGUUGCAUGAGAGCCUCUCAAUGCUAAACUUUUGGAGUUGUGUCUGGAAGUGCCACAACUGCAUCUCAAUUAGAUCAAAUAAUUGAGACUCUCAGUGCUGCACUAGCCAGGGUCUAUAAUCACUGGUCCCAGUGGCUUCUGACCCAUAAAUGGUAGACUGGAUUGAAUUUGUUUGGAUUUGUGUGUUCUGACCAGACUGCCCAAAAGCAGUCACACGACUCGGUUCCACUGUCAGCUGAGGAGUAAGUAGAGAAACAUCUGUGUGUGGUGCUGUUCGUGACAUGGAUAGUUUUAAAGGAUGUCUUAAAUGUUUGUUGGCAACAAGGGUGACACUCUUGUUCUUUGUUGCAGACCAGCGACACAAACAAUGAGAAAUUAUGAGUAAAAGUAGUUGGUGACGUAUGUGUGGAAAUAAUUGCCUUUGUGUUGGAGGGGUUGUAUGUGGACAAACUUGUCGACGGAAAUUGCACAGUUGUUAGUGGCGAGGAUGGUGGAAGGCCUGCAAACCACAGCACCCAAGGGCAUCAAAGGACAGCAGUACUCAACUCCAGAAGGCCACAACAGCCCCAGACAGACACCAGGCACUGCCCCAGGUCAGCCAUACACCAUAAAUGGAAGUCGGUUGUCAACAAAGGAAAGGAGCAGCAGCCCCCAAGCCAAAGAGGCGCAGGGAGAGAUGCAGGGCACCAAUCUUCCCUGACCCUGCCACAUCAUCAUCAACCCUGUAACCCAGAGUUCCCUGUACCCCAAUGCUCCCUCCAACACCUGAAAGCAAGACCAUCCAGCACCAAGCAGGGGAAACAGCACCCCCCCCCAAAGCACCCAAUACAUCUGGCAGCUAAAACUCAGAAGGACCAGGGCAAGGAGGACGCAUUACCACAACACCUGGUGACCCCCAGGAGGGGGUCAAGAGGGAUGGACCCCCACAAGAGGCCCGCGCAACGUCUGUGGCCCAGGAUUUUUCAGAUGUAUUUUGUACAGCUGCUGCAAGACUUUUGAGCAGAAUUAGAAAAAAGCUGCACACAUUUUGGCUACAUGGAAGCGUUUUGUGAAGUUAGAUUCCAUGAUCAAUCAUUUUUAACCGUGCUGUUUUAAAAUUUGUUUGGUUUGGUUGAUGCAAUCCAUUGAGACCAUUUUAAGGCUCCAACUGUUAUUUAUACAGAACUGGUGCAUGACUAUGAAAAGUUAAAAGGGACCAAAUUAAGGACACAAAUACAUCAGUAAUCAUUAAAAAAAAGUAGAUACCCUUUGAGCCUCACUGUAACCUGCCUGGCUAGACAGCAGCUUUGAGCCA